AUUGAACGCUGGCGGCAGGCCUAACACAUGCAAGUCGGACGGUAGCACAGAGGAGCUUGCUCCUUGGGUGACGAGUGGCGGACGGGCGAGUAAUGUCUGGGGAUCUGCCCGAUAGAGGGGGAUAACCACUGGAAACGGUGGCUAAUACCGCAUAACGUCGCAAGACCAAAGAGGGGGACCUUCGGGCCUCUCACUAUCGGAUGAACCCAGAUGGGAUUAGCUAGUAGGCGGGGUAAUGGCCCACCUAGGCGACGAUCCCUAGCUGGUCUGAGAGGAUGACCAGCCACACGGGAACUGAGACACGGUCCAGACUCCUACGGGAGGCAGCAGUGGGGAAUAUUGCACAAUGGGCGCAAGCCUGAUGCAGCCAUGCCGCGUGUAUGAAGAAGGCCUUCGGGUUGUAAAGUACUUUCAGCGGGGAGGAAGGCGGUGAGGUUAAUAACCUCGCCGAUUGACGUUACCCGCAGAAGAAGCACCGGCUAACUCCGUGCCAGCCGCCGCCGUAAGAC
rnacentral:rRNA from 1 species